CGGCGAGUGAAGCGGCAACAGCUCAAAUUUGAAAUCUGGGUCUUUCAGGCUCCGAGUUGUAAUUUGUAGAAGAUGCUUCGGGUGUGGCUCCGGUCUAAGUUCCUUGGAACAGGACGUCAUAGAGGGUGAGAAUCCCGUACGUGACUGGUUGCCUUCGCCCAUGUGAAGCUCUUUCGACGAGUCGAGUUGUUUGGGAAUGCAGCUCAAAAUGGGUGGUAAAUUUCAUCUAAAGCUAAAUAUUGGCCAGAGACCGAUAGCGCACAAGUAGAGUGAUCGAAAGAUGAAAAGCACUUUGGAAAGAGAGUUAAACAGUACGUGAAAUUGUUGAAAGGGAAGCGCUUGCAACCAGACUUGCACGCUGCUGAUCAUCCGGGGUUCUCCCCGGUGCACUCGGUGGUGUUCAGGCCAGCAUCGGUUUGGGUGGUUGGAUAAAGGCCUUGGGAAUGUAGCUUCUUUCGGGGAGUGUUAUAGCCCUCGGUGCAAUGCAGCCUACCCGGACCGAGGACCGCGCUUCGGCUAGGAUGCUGGCGUAAUGGUUGUAAGCGACCCGUCUUGAAACACGGACCAAGGAGUCUAACAUCUAUGCGAGUGUUUGGGUGUCAAACCCAUACGCGUAAUGAAAGUGAACGGAGGUGAGAACCCUUAAGGGUGCAUCAUCGACCGAUCCUGAUGUCUUCGGAUGGAUUUGAGUAAGAGCAUAGCUGUUGGGACCCGAAAGAUGGUGAUCUAUACUUGAAUAGGGUGAAGCCAGAGGAAACUCUGGUGGAGGCUCGCAGCGGUUCUGACGUGCAAAUCGAUCGUCAAAUUUGAGUAUAGGGGCGAAAGACUAAUCGAACCAUUCGGAUGGCAUACGUAAAGGUUGCUAGGUG
rnacentral:rRNA from 1 species